rnacentral:lncRNA from 1 species
GCAGCAACACCAUCUAUUAUUAAUCUUCUUGCUGAAUUAUUACAGUAUUUCUGAGGAAAAUGGAUUAAUUUGUGAAAUCUGACAGGUUCUCUUGAUUUAAAUGGUAGGUGGCUCUGUUAAGCACUAGGAAGUCCUUUAGUUAUGUAAAUCCUUAAUAAUACCGGCCUGAACUGUGGAAACUGAGAGAUGUCCCCGAGGGACACAGUGGAUUCUGGCAGGUGGAAGGGUGUGAGGAAUGCUGUCUGUUUGUGAUGGUUUGAAUGCGUCCAGGUUGCAAUCAGAGGAAUGGGCUAAGUGACUUUAGAGGUUCCUUCUGGACCAAAGAGUGUUUCCUAUAAUUAACUGUUAUUUGCUGCUCAGUAACAGCAAUUUCAGUCUAUCUAUCUAUCUAUCUAUCUAUCUAUCUAUCUAUCUAUCUAUCUAUCUAUCUAGAUAUCUAUCUAUCUAUCUAGAUAUCUAUCUAUCUAUCUAUUUUAGGGCUGCACCCUCGCCUGGGAACCUCCAUAUGCCGCGGAGCAGCCCAAGAAAUAGCAAAAAGACGGAAAAAAAAAAAAAAAGAAAGAAAUAUAGGUGACCUGAAGAUAUUGCCAUUGCAUUUCUCCCCACUGCACGUACAAUCAAAUCCUCAUUAAGCCUCUGGGACCACCUGGUAUUGCUACUUUGAAAUAUAAAUUCAGUACAGAUAAUGAAUCCAGCUGGGAAUACUUAAGAAAACUCAAAUGAAUGCUUUUUAAAGUUUUUAAUAAAAAUAGGUUUUAAUACACAAAUGAAAAUUUGUGCAGGAUUUGGGUUUAUUUGAAUGCUGGUCUAAAUUAAGAUAAAUGAUAGUUGGAUAUUAUCUGAUAACUUAAGAAAUGCUAUUGAAUGUCUUCUGAUUGUUUUUCUAGCUACAGCUGAGUAUAGUUUUUUUUUUUUUUUCUGAGCAUAUUUGAGAGUUUGCAAAACUUUGCUUACAAUAGGGACCUAAACAAUUAUAGGUUUGAAUUCAGUUCGUAGGACUCUGAAGCAAUUAUGUAUUUAGAUCUUAGAAGCUCUGGUGUUUGCUUCAGCAAUGUAGCAAAUCUAUAAAUUUAUCCUUCUUUUUUUUUUAAGCUUGCAUUUACCUGCAUGGUACACUCCCCUUUUUUUCCCUUGGAAAGUGUCUGUUUUCAUUGUAUUCUGAGAUGUGUUUAAUCUUCCUUUAUUUUUUUUCCAUUUAAUCCACGGAUUAACUUUAUUAUCUCUUCUCUCUUUUUUCUUCCCUAAGAGCUGCAACAUUUUCACGAUGUUUUAAAUCUUACAGCACUGAGUUGAAUACAAAUGGAAUUCCAAACAAGCAAACGCAUAAUCUAUCUCCCCUUUUUGGGAUUGCUAAUUAUCAAAGAAAGUUUAUUCUUUGCUGUCAGGGUUUUUACAUAGACAUUAUUUUCACUUAGGCAUUUAAAGUACUUUAUUAAGUUUUAGUGUUUUCUGAGGCUCUUCUAUUUUUAUAUAAACUGAUAUGUUAAGUAAGUAGAAUGCCUCUCUUUUCCUAUAGUUCUGCAAUUGGACUUAUCCAAAGAAGUAUGUCCCUUUCUGAGGAAAAACACUCUAAGUGUGCUUGAUUUGGAGUUGCAGGGCCAGCAGGAAAUUAUUCAAUACUAGACUUUCCUAGUGAAAGGACCAAUUCCCUCAUUUUAGAGAAUAGAAGCUGAGACUCAUAGAAGAAAAGUGACUCAUCAAAGUUGAUGGGGGAGCUCAGUGCUCCACCAGUACAACCUGCUGCCUCUCAUCUAGAAAACUUUCCACAUUCAAUGGGCCCCUACUGUAUGCCAAGACUGUAUAGGGGACAUUUUUUAAUUGAAUUUUUGGAGGUUUAUUGAUACAUAAUUGUUAUAUAACAUCAUGUAUAUUUAAGGUAUACAGUGUAUUUGAUACAUGUGUGUUUUGCAAAAUGGCACCAUGAGUAGGUUAGUUAACACAUCCAUCACCUCAUACCAUUGCAAUAUUUUUUGUGUGUAUAGUAAGAACAUUUAAGACCUACUGUCAGCAACUUUCAAGUAUGUAAUACAGUUUUGUUAGCUAUAGUCAACAUGCUGAAUAGAAGAUCCUCAGAAUUUGUUCAUUUUUAUAACUGGAAGUUUGUACCAUUUGACCAACAUCUAUCCAUUUUCUCCACUCCUACCCAUCCCCCACCUUGACAAUUAGCAUUCUACUCUCUGUUUCUAUGAGUUUAGAUUUUUUUUAGAUUCCACAUAUAAAUGAAAUCAUACAAACCAUACCGUAUUUGUCUUUAUCUGACGUGUGUUUCACUCAGCAUGAUGCCCUCAAGGUCCACCCAUGUUAUUGCAUCAUUUUAUGGCUGAAUAAUAUUAUUUACCAUAUAUAAAAAUAAUGUAUAAUAUAUAUAUAUAUAUAUAUAUACACACACACACACACCUAUUUAAAUUUUAUUCAUUCAUCUGUUGAUGGACACUUAGUUUGUUUCCAUGUAUUAAUUAUUGUGAAUGAACAGUAUUGCAAUGAACAUAGGGUGCAAAUAUCUUUUUGAGAUCCUGAUUUUAUUUCCUUCAUAUAUGUACCCAGAAAUGGGAUUGCUGGAUCAUAUGGUUCUUCUAUGUCUAAUUUUUAAAGGAAUCUCCAUACUCUUUUCCAUAAUAGCUAUAUCACCAACUGUGCACUAGGGUUCCCUUUUUUUCCACAUCCUUGCCAAUCCUCAUUAGUUCAAAAAAUCCUCAUUUUUUGUUUUGAUAAUUGUUGGAGGAGGUCAUCAGGAGGUGGAGACUGCUGGCUGACCCAUGAGCUGGACCAGGCAAUCCAAAUCUCUUCACCCCUUCCCUGGUCUUUAGAAUGUACAUUCUGUGGGUGGGUGUGGAGGUAUACACCUAAGACACACUUCAUAUGUAUGUUCCCUUGCUUAUUAAACCUGCCACCUACCAAGCUAGAGUGGUCUGCCUCUUACUUCUGUUUCUCCUUGCCCUGCGUGUGUGGGGGCCAAUUUUGUGAGCCAACAAUAAUGACUGAGAUGAGCUCGAGCCAGUUCAUGGGCCAUUUCAAGGUUGGGAUUGAGGUAUUUGGGGCUUCUCCUGGGUCCCUUGGUGUAUCAGGCAGGUGACCAUCACAAAGCCAAAUGGGGCUGUGGCCAUGUUGUCAGGGUACAGAGCUAUUUUCAUUUCUGCAGCCAAGACCACAGUUGGCAAGUCAGACAGAGGGUUGCAAGCCUGUCUUGCUCUCCUCAGUCUUAGACUACCCUGGGCUUUCACAGUCUUCCACCUGGAUCCCAAAUCUCCCACAAAGGCAUGUUUGUCUGUAGAGGGGUGCUAAAUUAUUGUUGAAGGAGGAUAUGUAUGAGGAACAUAUUAUUCAAUCAUUUUUCUCAGGAUGCUGUUUUUAUGUGGUAUAUAUUUCUCCUUCAUCUUUAUGACUUUCCAAACUUUAUAGUAUAUAUACUGUGAGAAGCACACUGAUAGUUAUCAUUUAAAUAAAUUUUGUUUAAGAAAUUGGACUUAAGCAAAUCAAACAAAUGACAGAAACAAUUUACUUAAAAGAAGGACACUUAGGAGUUCCCAUCGUGACUCAGUGGUUAAUGAAUCCAACUAGGAACCAUGAGGUUGCGGGUUCGAUCCCAGCCCUUGCUCAGUGGGUUAAGGAUCCAGUGUUGCCGUGAGCUGUGGUGUAGGUUAUAGAUGUGGCUUGGAUCCCG